UCGCCCUGAUGGAACUGCUGCUUUCCAACAAUGAGCCUUGAUAUGUUGUUUAGUUUUACAACAAGCUUGUAGCACUUGAUUUUAUACUUCUAUACAAAUAAAAGAUCUUAUAUGUAUUCCUUCUGCCCAUAAAAGUUGUGGGACAAAUGAAAAUUUUAAUAUUUUUUACUUCUAUACAAAUAGGAGAUCUUGUACGUAUUCUUUUUACCCAUAAAAG
rnacentral:lncRNA from 1 species